AUAAACAGACAGGAAUCUGUAUUGAUGAUCUCAGGUGAGGAAUAGAAAUGAAUCUGUAUUGAUGCUCUCAGGUAAGGUAUAGGUAGGCAGGAAUCUGUAUUGAUGCUCUCAGAUGAGGAAUAAACAGACAGGAAUCUGUAUUGAUGAUCUCAGGUGAGGAAUAGACAUAAAUCUGUAUUAAUGAUCUCAGGUAAGGUAUAGGUAGGCAGGAAUCUGUAUUGAUGUUCUCAGGUGAGGAAUAGACAGGAAUCUGUAUUGAUGAUCUCAGGUGAGGAAUAGAAAUGGAUCCGUAUUGAUGCUCUCAAGUGAGGAAUAAAUAGACUUGAAUCUGUAUUGGUGCUCUCAGGUAAGGUAUAGGUAGGCAAGAAUCUGUAUUGAUGCUCUCAAGUGAGGAAUAAACAAAGAGGAAUCUGUAUUGAUGCUCUCAGGUGAGGAAGAGACAUUAAUCUAUAUUGAUGAUCUCAGGUAAGGUAUAGAUAGGCAAGAAUCUGUAUUGAUGCUCUCAAGUGAGGAAGAGACAUGAAUCUAUAUUGAUGAUCUCAGGUGAGGAAUAGACAUGAAUCUGUAUUGAUGAUCUCAGGUAAGGUAUAGAUAGGCAAGAAUCUGUAUUGAUGCUCUCAGGUGAGGAAGAGACAUGAAUC